rnacentral:snoRNA from 1 species
GAAGAUGAUGAUUAUUUUGUCGACCGGGCGGACAGAUUAGUAUCGGCGCUGGGUGGUUGUUGCCAUUCUCAGUGUACAAAUUUUUUGAGGGUGGUGGCGACCCUUUGAAAGCCCUACGUCGAGAAGUGGUGAGUGGUCGUGAGAUAGCUGAUU